ACGAACGCUGGCGGCGUGCUUAACCCCUGCAAGUCGAACGGAAAGGCCUCUUUCGGGGGGUACUCGAGUGGCGAACGGGUGAGUAACACGUGAGUAACCUGCCCUUGACUUUGGGAUAACUUCAGGAAACUGGGGCUAAUACCGGAUAGGAGCUCCUGCUGCAUGGUGGGGGUUGGAAAGUUUCGGCGGUUGGGGAUGGACUCGCGGCUUAUCAGCUUGUUGGUGGGGUAGUGGCUUACCAAGGCUUUGACGGGUAGCCGGCCUGAGAGGGUGACCGGCCACAUUGGGACUGAGAUACGGCCCAGACUCCUACGGGAGGCAGCAGUGGGGAAUAUUGCACAAUGGGUGGAAGCCUGAUGCAGCAACGCCGUGUGCGGGAUGACGGCCUUCGGGUUGUAAACCGCUUUCGCUCAUGACGAAGCUUUGUGUGACGGUAGUGGGUAAAGAAGCACCGGCUAACUACGUG
rnacentral:rRNA from 1 species